rnacentral:tRNA from 2 species
CCUUCGAUAGCUCAGUUGGUAGAGCGGUGGACUGUAGAAGUAACGCUGAUGCGGUAGCAGUAAUCCAUAGGUCACUGGUUCAAAUCCGGUUCGAAGGA